UACGUAGGUGGCAAGCGUUGUCCGGAUUUACUGGGCGUAAAGAGCGCGCAGGCGGUCGUUCAAGUCGCGUGUGAAAGCCCCCGGCUCAACUGGGGAGGGUCACGCGAUACUGAUCGACUCGAAGGCAGGAGAGGGUAGUGGAAUUCCCGGUGUAGUGGUGAAAUGCGUAGAUAUCGGGAGGAACACCAGUGGCGAAGGCGAGAUGCUGGACCCUUUCUGACGCUGAGGCGCGAAAGCCAGGGGAGCGAACGGG
rnacentral:rRNA from 1 species